rnacentral:rRNA from 1 species
GGGUUGUGAGGUUAAGCGACUAAGCGUACACGGUGGAUGCCCUGGCAGUCAGAGGCGAUGAAGGACGUGCUAAUCUGCGAUAAGCGUCGGUAAGGUGAUAUGAACCGUUAUAACCGGCGAUUUCCGAAUGGGGAAACCCAGUGUGAUUCGUCACACUAUCAUUAACUGAAUCCAUAGGUUAAUGAGGCGAACCGGGGGAACUGAAACAUCUAAGUACCCCGAGGAAAAGAAAUCAACCGAGAUUCCCCCAGUAGCGGCGAGCGAACGGGGAGGAGCCCAGAGCCUGAAUCAGUGUGUGUGUUAGUGGAAGCGUCUGGAAAGGCGCGCGAUACAGGGUGACAGCCCCGUACACAAAAAUGCACAUGCUGUGAGCUCGAUGAGUAGGGCGGGACACGUGGUAUCCUGUCUGAAUAUGGGGGGACCAUCCUCCAAGGCUAAAUACUCCUGACUGACCGAUAGUGAACCAGUACCGUGAGGGAAAGGCGAAAAGAACCCCGGCGAGGGGAGUGAAAAAGAACCUGAAACCGUGUACGUACAAGCAGUGGGAGCACGCUUAGGCGUGUGACUGCGUACCUUUUGUAUAAUGGGUCAGCGACUUAUAUUCUGUAGCAAGGUUAACCGAAUAGGGGAGCCGAAGGGAAACCGAGUCUUAACUGGGCGUUAAGUUGCAGGGUAUAGACCCGAAACCCGGUGAUCUAGCCAUGGGCAGGUUGAAGGUUGGGUAACACUAACUGGAGGACCGAACCGACUAAUGUUGAAAAAUUAGCGGAUGACUUGUGGCUGGGGGUGAAAGGCCAAUCAAACCGGGAGAUAGCUGGUUCUCCCCGAAAGCUAUUUAGGUAGCGCCUCGUGAAUUCAUCUCCGGGGGUAGAGCACUGUUUCGGCAAGGGGGUCAUCCCGACUUACCAACCCGAUGCAAACUGCGAAUACCGGAGAAUGUUAUCACGGGAGACACACGGCGGGUGCUAACGUCCGUCGUGAAGAGGGAAACAACCCAGACCGCCAGCUAAGGUCCCAAAGUCAUGGUUAAGUGGGAAACGAUGUGGGAAGGCCCAGACAGCCAGGAUGUUGGCUUAGAAGCAGCCAUCAUUUAAAGAAAGCGUAAUAGCUCACUGGUCGAGUCGGCCUGCGCGGAAGAUGUAACGGGGCUAAACCAUGCACCGAAGCUGCGGCAGCGACGCUUAUGCGUUGUUGGGUAGGGGAGCGUUCUGUAAGCCUGUGAAGGUGUGCUGUGAGGCAUGCUGGAGGUAUCAGAAGUGCGAAUGCUGACAUAAGUAACGAUAAAGCGGGUGAAAAGCCCGCUCGCCGGAAGACCAAGGGUUCCUGUCCAACGUUAAUCGGGGCAGGGUGAGUCGACCCCUAAGGCGAGGCCGAAAGGCGUAGUCGAUGGGAAACAGGUUAAUAUUCCUGUACUUGGUGUUACUGCGAAGGGGGGACGGAGAAGGCUAUGUUGGCCGGGCGACGGUUGUCCCGGUUUAAGCGUGUAGGCUGGUUUUCCAGGCAAAUCCGGAAAAUCAAGGCUGAGGCGUGAUGACGAGGCACUACGGUGCUGAAGCAACAAAUGCCCUGCUUCCAGGAAAAGCCUCUAAGCAUCAGGUAACAUCAAAUCGUACCCCAAACCGACACAGGUGGUCAGGUAGAGAAUACCAAGGCGCUUGAGAGAACUCGGGUGAAGGAACUAGGCAAAAUGGUGCCGUAACUUCGGGAGAAGGCACGCUGAUAUGUAGGUGAAGUCCCUCGCGGAUGGAGCUGAAAUCAGUCGAAGAUACCAGCUGGCUGCAACUGUUUAUUAAAAACACAGCACUGUGCAAACACGAAAGUGGACGUAUACGGUGUGACGCCUGCCCGGUGCCGGAAGGUUAAUUGAUGGGGUCAGCGCAAGCGAAGCUCUUGAUCGAAGCCCCGGUAAACGGCGGCCGUAACUAUAACGGUCCUAAGGUAGCGAAAUUCCUUGUCGGGUAAGUUCCGACCUGCACGAAUGGCGUAAUGAUGGCCAGGCUGUCUCCACCCGAGACUCAGUGAAAUUGAACUCGCUGUGAAGAUGCAGUGUACCCGCGGCAAGACGGAAAGACCCCGUGAACCUUUACUAUAGCUUGACACUGAACAUUGAGCCUUGAUGUGUAGGAUAGGUGGGAGGCUUGGAAGUGUGGACGCCAGUCUGCAUGGAGCCGACCUUGAAAUACCACCCUUUAAUGUUUGAUGUUCUAACGUUGACCCGUAAUCCGGGUUGCGGACAGUGUCUGGUGGGUAGUUUGACUGGGGCGGUCUCCUCCUAAAGAGUAACGGAGGAGCACGAAGGUUGGCUAAUCCUGGUCGGACAUCAGGAGGUUAGUGCAAUGGCAUAAGCCAGCUUGACUGCGAGCGUGACGGCGCGAGCAGGUGCGAAAGCAGGUCAUAGUGAUCCGGUGGUUCUGAAUGGAAGGGCCAUCGCUCAACGGAUAAAAGGUACUCCGGGGAUAACAGGCUGAUACCGCCCAAGAGUUCAUAUCGACGGCGGUGUUUGGCACCUCGAUGUCGGCUCAUCACAUCCUGGGGCUGAAGUAGGUCCCAAGGGUAUGGCUGUUCGCCAUUUAAAGUGGUACGCGAGCUGGGUUUAGAACGUCGUGAGACAGUUCGGUCCCUAUCUGCCGUGGGCGCUGGAGAACUGAGGGGGGCUGCUCCUAGUACGAGAGGACCGGAGUGGACGCAUCACUGGUGUUCGGGUUGUCAUGCCAAUGGCACUGCCCGGUAGCUAAAUGCGGAAGAGAUAAGUGCUGAAAGCAUCUAAGCACGAAACUUGCCCCGAGAUGAGUUCUCCCUGACUCCUUGAGAGUCCUGAAGGAACGUUGAAGACGACGACGUUGAUAGGCCGGGUGUGUAAGCGCAGCGAUGCGUUGAGCUAACCGGUACUAAUGAACCGUGAGGCUUAACCUUACAACGCCGAAG